UAGUAACGGCGAGCGAAGCGGGAAGAGCUCAAAUUUGAAAGCUGGCACCUUCGGUGUCCGCGUUGUAAUCUCGAGACGUGUUUUCCGUGUGGCGCUAUGGACAAGUCCCUUGGAACAGGGCAUCGUAGAGGGUGAAAAUCCCGUACUUGCCAUGGCUGUACCAUGCUUUGUGAUACACGCUCUAAGAGUCGAGUUGUUUGGGAUUGCAGCUCAAAAUGGGUGGUAGACUCCAUCUAAAGCUAAAUAUCGGGGAGAGACCGAUAGCGAACAAGUACCGUGAGGGAAAGAUGAAAAGCACUUUGGAAAGAGAGUUAAAAGUACGUGAAAUUGUCGAAAGGGAAGCGCUUGAAGUCAGCCAUGCUGCUUGAGACUCAGCCUUGCUUUUGCUUGGUGUAUUUCUCGGUAGCAAGCCAGCAUUGGUUCGAGUCGUCGGAGAAGGGUAUGAGAAAUGUGGCAUCCUCGGAUGUGUUAUAGACUUGUACUGGAUACGACGAUUUGGAUCAAGGAACGCAUGUGCCUCUGUCGUGUCUUCGGACACCUUCAACUUA
rnacentral:rRNA from 1 species